AGAGGUGGGUGGAGUGGCCGGUAGAGAUUCAGUAUCACUGAGAAUCAUUCCCUAAUCUUGUAGAUCUCCAAACACAACUACUGUGCUCUGCUACU